rnacentral:rRNA from 1 species
CAGCAGCCGCGGGAAUACGUAGGUGGCAAGCGUUGUCCGGAAUUAUUGGGCGUAAAGGGCUCGCAGGCGGUUUCUUAAGUCUGAUGUGAAAGCCCCCGGCUCAACCGGGGAGGGUCAUUGGAAACUGGGAAACUUGAGUGCAGAAGAGGAGAGUGGAAUUCCACGUGUAGCGGUGAAAUGCGUAGAGAUGUGGAGGAACACCAGUGGCGAAGGCGACUCUCUGGUCUGUAACUGACGCUGAUGUGCGAAAGCGUGGGGAUCAAACAGGAUUAGAUACCCCUGUAGUCCCUGUCUCUUAAAC